rnacentral:rRNA from 1 species
UGGCGGCGUGCGUAACACAUGCAAGUCGAACGAGAAAUUCCGGGCUUGCUCGGGAGAGUAAAGUGGCGAACGGGUGAGUAACGCGUGGGUAACCUGCCCCUGAAUCUGGAAUAACUUCGCGAAAGCGAGGCUAAUACCGGAUAUUGUCCCAGGGACCUCGGUCCUUGUGAUGAAAGAUGACCUCUUCACGAAAGUUGUCGUUCAGGGAGGGGCCCGCGUACCAUUAGCUAGUUGGUAGGGUAAUGGCCUACCAAGGCGAAGAUGGUUAGCUGGUCUGAGAGGAUGACCAGCCACACUGGCACUGAAACACGGGCCAGACUCCUACGGGAGGCAGCAGUGAGGAAUUUUGCGCAAUAGGGGAAACCCUGACGCAGCAACGCCGCGUGAGUGAAGAAGGCCCUCGGGUCGUAAAGCUCUGUCAAGUGGGAAAAAAGCUUACUGGUAAAUAGCCAGCAAGACUGAUGGUACCAUUGAAGGAAGCACCGGCUAACUCCGUGCCAGCAGCCGCGGUAAUACGGAGGGU